rnacentral:rRNA from 1 species
AACGAACGCUGGCGGCAUGCCUAACACAUGCAAGUCGAACGAGACCUUCGGGUCUAGUGGCGCACGGGUGCGUAACGCGUGGGAACCUGCCCUUAGGUUCGGAAUAACUCCCCGAAAGGGGUGCUAAUACCGGAUAAUGUCUUCGGACCAAAGAUUUAUCGCCUUUGGAUGGGCCCGCGUUGGAUUAGCUAGUUGGUAGGGUAAAAGCCUACCAAGGCGACGAUCCAUAGCUGGUCUGAGAGGAUGAUCAGCCACACUGGGACUGAGACACGGCCCAGACUCCUACGGGAGGCAGCAGUGGGGAAUAUUGGACAAUGGGCGAAAGCCUGAUCCAGCAAGGCCGCGUGAGUGAUGAAGGCCUUAGGGUUGUAAAGCGCUUUUACCCGGGAUGAUAAUGACAGUACCGGGAGAAUAAGCUCCGGCUAACUCCGUG